rnacentral:ncRNA from 2 species
UAUAGUGAUCUCGUCGCUGGUGCCUGUUCGGGCCCAGAGGGAACGUGGUGAGACAAGAGAUCAAUGCCACGGCUGCCCCCGCAACUGUAAGCGGAGAGCUCACGUCCACAAGCCACUGGGAGAUCCCGGGAAGGCGGACGUCGAGCGCAUGAUCCGCAAGCCAGGAGACCUGCCGGCGGCGAGUGCAGAUC